rnacentral:sRNA from 1 species
CUUGGAGGAGCCCAGUGACCUUGAGGAGCUUGAGCAGUUUGCCAAGACCUUCAAACAAAGACGAAUCAAACUUGGAUUCACUCAGGGUGAUGUUGGGCUCGCUAUGGGGAAACUAUAUGGAAAUGACUUCAGCCAAACUACCAUCUCUCGCUUUGAAGCCUUGAACCUCAGCUUUAAGAACAUGUGCAAGUUGAAGCCACUUUUAGAGAAGUGGCUAAAUGAUGCAGAACCUUGAAGCUUACUAAUCCUGGGAGGAUCAUUAUAAAUUAUGGUGAUAUAAAUCAGAAAGCUGAUUCAUUUAAAUAUUCUAGUAAUUACAGUAUAAAUAAUUAGCCGUAAUUUUUAGCCUGAAAUACUCUUGUAUUUGAGCCAGGGUUAGGAACACACACACACACACACAGUUGAAGGAAUAGGAUAAGUAAGGCUUUUGUAUUUAGAUAAGCUUGAAGUAGAAGCUUAUUGUUUCUUCCUUGAUGAAUUAUCAUAGAACUUGUUCUUGCAGUAGUUCUGCUUUUG